UUUGUUAUCACUAAAAUAAAAUAAAUGUUAUGUUCACUAUAUACGUAGGAACUAAUUGGUUCUGCAGAUUAGGGAGACGAAGGGACCAAGAAAUUGAAGGCAAGAAGGAAGAGCAUAAACUGACAUGAAAGACAACUCAUAGGGGUAGAACUGAAAGCAGAUCGAUAAGGACCUGUUGAUCCAUAUUCAAGAUUGGACAGUAGAUAUAAAAUCAUGCUCAGCUAGCAAAACUGAAAGCAGAUCGAUAAGGACCUAUUGAUCUAUAUUCAAGGUAU